GAUGAACGCUGGCGGCGUGCCUAAUACAUGCCAGUCGAGCGAACGGACGAGAAGCUUGCUUCUCUGAUGUUAGCGGCGGACGGGUGAGUAACACGUGGAUAACCUACCUAUAAGACUGGGAUAACUUCGGGAAACCGUAGCUAAUACCGGAUAAUAUUUUGAACCGCAUGGUUCAAAAGUGAAAGACGGUCUUGCUGUCACUUAUAGAUGGAUCCGCGCUGCAUUAGCUAGUUGGUAAGGUAACGGCUUACCAAGGCAACGAUGCAUAGCCGACCUGAGAGGGUGAUCGGCCACACUGGAACUGAGACACGGUCCAGACUCCUACGGGAGGCAGCAGUAGGGAAUCUUCCUCAAUGGGCGAAAGCCUGACGGAGCAACGCCGCGUGAGUGAUGAAGGUCUUCGGAUCGUAAAACUCUGUUAUUAGGGAAGAACAUAUGUGUAAGUAACUGUGCACAUCUUGACGGUACCUAAUCAGAAAGCCACGGCUAACUACGUG
rnacentral:rRNA from 1 species